rnacentral:lncRNA from 1 species
CAUUUAAUUCCUUCUUUUUAGGCUAAUACGUUGUUUUCCUCUAUGGUGCAAAUCCCAUUUUCUCCUAUGGGUUCCAAUACACUUUCACCUUCGGUUUCAAACUACAAUUCCUCAGUCACUUGUUACCAGAUACUCAAUUCUGUGACUUUGGUCACUUCAUUCCAUUAAUCUGCAUGAUGCAUUCAUAUUCUACCUUCAUUCACUCCCCGUGAU